rnacentral:rRNA from 1 species
UACGUAGGGUGCAAGCGUUAAUCGGAAUUACUGGGCGUAAAGCGCGUGUAGGCGGUUGUCCAAGUUGGAUGUGAAAGCCUUGAGCUUAACUCAAGAAAUGCAUUCAGGACUGGAUGACUAGAGGACCGGAGAGGAUAGUGGAAUUCCCAGUGUAGUGGUGAAAUACGUAGAGAUUGGGAAGAACACCAGUGGCGAAGGCGGCUAUCUGGACGGUUUCUGACGCUAAGACGCGAAAGCGUGGGAGCAACAGG